rnacentral:lncRNA from 1 species
AAGGAAAUAUCAGUUAUUGAAGAUGUUGAAUUGGUGAUGUACGGCGGGCGAGGGCUGCCCAACAGUGUCCAUGAUUUUACUCAUGAACUGUUCAACCAACGCUUUUCAAAUUUUAAUUUUUUGUUAUUGCUGACAAAAUGGAGGUCUAUUUCAAUAUUGACUAUUUUCACUUUCACAAUUCAUGGGGUAACAGUUUUUGAAAAAUUG